AUACGGAGGGUGCAAGCGUUACUCGGAAUCACUGGGCGUAAAGCGCGCGCAGGCGGUCUUUUAAGUUGGAUGUGAAAGCCUACGGCUCAACCGUAGAACUGCAUCCAAAACUAUUAGACUAGAGUGUGGGAGAGGAAGAUGGAAUUAGUUGUGUAGGGGUAAAAUCCGAAGAGAUAACUAGGAAUACCAAAAGCGAAGGCAAUCUUCUGGAACACUACUGACGCUGAGGCGCGAAAGCGUGGGGAGCAAACAGGAUUAGAAACCCUAGUAGUCC
rnacentral:rRNA from 1 species